AGUGAACGCUGGCGGUAGGCCUAACACAUGCAAGUCGAACGGCAGCACAGUAAGAGCUUGCUCUUACGGGUGGCGAGUGGCGGACGGGUGAGGAAUACAUCGGUAUCUACUUUUUCGUGGGGGAUAACGUAGGGAAACUUACGCUAAUACCGCAUACGACCCACGGGUGAAAGCAGGGGAUCUUCGGACCUUGCGCGAUUGAAUGAGCCGAUGUCGGAUUAGCUAGUUGGCGGGGUAAAGGCCCACCAAGGCGACGAUCCGUAGCUGGUCUGAGAGGAUGAUCAGCCACACUGGAACUGAGACACGGUCCAGACUCCUACGGGAGGCAGCAGUGGGGAAUAUUGGACAGUGGGCGCAAGCCUGAUCCAGCCAUACCGCGUGGGUGAAGAAGGCCUUCGGGUUGUAAAGCCCUUUUGUUGGGAAAGAAAAGCAGCAGGUUAAUACCCCGCUGUUCUGACGGUACCCAAAGAAUAAGCACCGGCUAACUUCGU
rnacentral:rRNA from 1 species